rnacentral:misc_RNA from 1 species
AACGCAUCUUGCGCCCGAUGGUACUCCGUCAGGCAUGUCUGUUUGAGUGUCUUUAAAUUCUCUCAAAACUCGAUUUUUUUUAAAAAGAUCGGACGUUUUGGAACUUGGGUCCUUUUUGGCAGGGGAUACUCUGCCGACCCGGAAGACAGGAGGCUGAUUUGCAAAAAUUGCGGUUGGACCGGGUGUUGUAGGGUUUUUUAAACCUCACUCGGGACGCAUUUUGGAAAAAUGUGCCAAACAAAACAUAUUUAAAACGAUUUUGACCUCAGAUCAGGCAGGAUUACCCGCUGAACUUAA